UGGGGGCAGUUGUUCCAUCUAGACCUCGAUGCUCCGUUCCUGCAUUAUCGUUUUUGCAUUUUUAAUAUGUGCAUUUUGUUUAAUUUGAAAAUGAAAGUUUUUAUUCUUUGUGAUUUUGGGUUUUUCUUUAUAUGUAGAUUUUAGACUGGAUUGAAGUGGGGUGAGAUACAUUCUAUAAAGGAAGGUAAUUUUUCCCCUGGUACUGGCUGCCCCUCAAGUGUAAUUGUGGAAUAUCCAGGACCAAAAUCCAAUGGGAGCAGUUGUUCGUAAUACACCUCAAUGCUCGGUUCCUGGAUUAAUUUGUUUUUUGCAUUUUUAGUAUGUGCAUUUUGUUUAAUUUGAAAGUGAAAGUUUUUAUUCUUUGUGAUUUUGGGUUUUUGUUUGCAUGUAAAUUUUAGACUGGAUUGAAGUGCGGUGAGAUACAUUUUAUAAAGGGAUUUUUUAAAUAAAGAUCUGGGUUUUGGAUUAUAUAUUGUUUUGACUACGGUUAUUGAUGGCAACUCCGAGUGGACCUCGUCCGGGGAAUAUCCCACCAAUUUAUACUCCUAAUUCUCUUGCUAAUAAUAUGCAAGACUUGCAAAUUAAUCAACCUAAUCUGCAACAGCCAAAAAAUCCUACUGGUGGUGCCUCUAGACCACCUAUCACUUUACCAUUUGGUCAGCAGCCUCCACCUUUUGCUGGAACCCGGCCAGGUCCACCUCUGCCCAGUGCCUUUACAGGGGGGCCUGGGCUCCCUAGCCCUAGUGGCCCCCCGAAUACAUUGUCACCAAAUGUGGCAUCUACUAGGCCCACUGGCCCACCACCUGGAUCUCAGCCUUCUCCUCGUUUCACUUUGAGACCGCUUCCUCCUGGGUUGCUGCCAUCUUCUAUGGGUGCUG
rnacentral:lncRNA from 1 species